UUCACUUUCUUCCAUUUCAUUAUUCUUUAUGUAACCUUUGACUUUUUUCUUUCUAUUAUGUUUCUUCACGUGGAGUGUCUUGUCCCCAGAAUUUUCCCGGGCCCCAACUCGGGGUGGCAAGUGAAGGUUUCUCCUCCUUUCAACUGACAAGUGCUGAGGCACUUUCUCCUUGGAUUUCCAAGAAACCGGGCUCCGGCAGUUGCUAUUGGAGGAGAGCGCAUAUGUUUUAGCCCUUUCUUACCCUCUUUUCCGCAUCCGCAACCUCCACCCCUCCCGACCGGAUGAGUUUUCCCUUAGCGACGGAGUCACCCUUUGGACACCGACUGACUAACAUGGCCGACAAAGAUGGCAGCUCAUUUACAUCGACUGCGCGUGAGAAAUAUUCAAAAUUUAUACAGAAGAGAAGGAACUGUUUACUUUAGCUUCCAGGUACUUGAUUAAUCUAGGGUAGCAACUAUAAAUUUUAAGACUGGUUUUGAUGGCCUAUUAUCGGGUGAAUGAAAACCUGGUGACUAUAAAAGGUA